rnacentral:tRNA from 1 species
AAUAAAGUGCCUGAAAAAGGAUUAUUCUGAUAGAAUAAAUCAUGUAAUUAAAAUUACCUUUAUUA